GAUGAACGCUGACAGAAUGCUUAACACAUGCAAGUCUUUGGCGAAGCUGUGCUUGCACAGCCUAGCCAAGGCGGACGGGUGAGUAACGCGUAAGGAACUUGCCCUGCAGUCAGGGAUAACAGACGGAAACGACUGAUAAGACCUGGUAAAGUCAGGCGGACUCAUGUCCAGCCUGAUGAAAAGAGAUGCUGCAGGAGAGCCUUGCGUCCUAUUAGCUUGUUGGUGGGGUAACGGCCCACCAAGGCGAUGAUAGGUAGCCGGCCUGAGAGGGUGGACGGCCACAAGGGGACUGAGAUACGGCCCUUACUCCUACGGGAGGCAGCAGUGGGGAAUAUUGGACAAUGGGGGCAACCCUGAUCCAGCAAUUCUGUGUGCACGAUGAAGGUUUUCGGAUUGUAAAAUGCUUUCAGCAGGGAAGAAAAAAAUGACGGUACCUGCAGAAGAAGCGACGGCUAAAUACGUG
rnacentral:rRNA from 1 species